rnacentral:tRNA from 1 species
GUCGCUUUGGUCGAGUGGCUAAGGCGUGUACCUGCUAAGUACACUAAAAUUCGAAUCUCUCAAGCGACG